GGGCCGAUAGCUCAGUCAGGGAGAGCAUCUGGCUCUUAACCAGACGGUCGGGGGUUCAAAUCCCCCUCGGCCCG
rfam:Natronomonas moolapensis 8.8.11 complete genome